rnacentral:piRNA from 1 species
GGACAGUUCAUGCCCGAUGAGAAGUGCAG